CCUACGGGGGGCAGCAGUGGGGAAUAUUGCACAAUGGGCGGAAGCCUGAUGCAGCGACGUCGCGUGAGGGAUGGAGGCCUUCGGGUUGUGAACCUCUUUCGCCAGUGAGGAAGGCCUUGCCUGUGUGGUGGGGUUGACGGUAGCUGGGUUAAUUGAAGCGCCGGCUAACUACGUGCCAGCAGCCGCGGUAAUACGUAGGGCGCGAGCGUUGUCCGGAAUUAUUGGGCGUAAAGGGCUUGUAGGCGGUUGGUCGCGUCUGCCGUGAAAUCCUCUGGCUCAGCUGGGGGCGUGCGGUGGGUACGGGCUGGCUUGAGUGCGGUAGGGGAGGCUGGAACUCCUGGUGUAGCGGUGGAAUGCGCAGAUAUCAGGAGGAACACCGGUGGCGAAGGCGGGUCUCUGGGCCG
rnacentral:rRNA from 1 species